ACAUAGUUGCAAAUUGUUCAUUUUUUUGUCAUUCUAAAAUUUUGGGUUCUAAAGCUGGUUUUUCAAGCAGUUAGGAGACAACGCAAAAUUUUAUGCGCCUUAUUUGUCAGGUACUGUUAGUAAAUGGUUGACUCCUAAAUAAUACCAUUCCAUACACUGCGACGGUAUGAACUAUGAAUCUAUUGGAUGAACUGUGGUUUUA
rnacentral:misc_RNA from 1 species